GCCGCCCGCCUCACCCGGCACGCCGCCGCGCCGCCCGCCUCACCCGCGCCAUACCUCCACCGCUCCCCUCACCAGCCACGCCACCGCGCCGCCCGCUUCACCCGCUGCCCGCCGUGCCAUACCUGCGCGACCGCCCGCCUCACCCGGCAAGACGCCACGCCGCCCGCCUCACCCUGGGCCUUCCCCGCGCCGUACCUCUGCCGCCCGCCCCCCUCCCGCCCUCCCUGCGCCGUAUGUCCGCCGCCGGCCUCGCCAGCCACGUCACUGUGCCGCCCGUCUCACCUGCUGCAGUACCCUCCCCCCUCUCCCUCGCGUCGCCCGCCUCCCUUCGCCGCACUCCCCUCUCUCCUCUCCCUCGCAUCGCCUGCCUCCCCUCACCGCUGCCUUAGGAUCUUCUCCGCACCGCCACCGUUCAGUCGUCGUCGCCGUGUCUCCUUCGUCGCGCACAGCCGUCAUGGUCUCAGGUCGCUUGCACCUUCUCCCAUGCUGACUAACGGCGUCACCGCCGCCGCCGCCAUCAUCACCAGCACCGACCUCUCCUCUCAGGUGCGAUUCUCUCUCUGUUAAUUUGUCUGUUAAUUUGCAUCCAUUCACUCUAACUUAAUUUGUUAACAUGGUCCACAUAAUCAUACUAUUAAUCUUUAAACGCCAGAUAGCCAAAAACAUCAUGUUGAGCUUUGAGUGGUCUCUCCGAGAAAUGGAGCCUGAAGAAGCAGUAGACAAUUGAUGUCGUUGCAAUUUCAUGCGCAAUCUCCAAAUGAGAGGUACACUGUACAAGUCUUGAAAAAAGUUGUGUAACUGAUCUGAAUUGAAAUGUAAAAACAAAAAUUAACCAGUUAAGUUUUGAGUGGUCUCUCCAUGCCUCUUGUCACAGGGUUUAUGGGGAUGUUUAUUUUCUUGUCUCAGUGAACUUACACUGUUUAUGUUUGAUUGACAAUAUAUAAAAUAUUGCCAUAACUUAUACGCAUGCAUCUAGCUAGCCAAUAAGAGUAAAGAGAUCUCGCCAUUUUGCAGGAAUCUUUUCUUCUUAACAUCUAUCGCUUUUCCAGCCAUUUUUCAGAGUUUAGAGUUUUAGUUUCAGAGUUGUUUUAGGUUGUUUCGUGUGUGCUUCUGCAGGCAGCCAUGCAGAGCUAGGAUCCUGGAAUGUGUUGGCCACUAACUCAUGGGAGCCUGUCGAUUAAUUGAGUCGAUAACACUAGAAUAAUAAUCUUA
rnacentral:lncRNA from 1 species